UUUUGCGGAAGUGUAAUCAUACUAAAAUAAGGAAGUGUCACUUCCAUACCGUACAUGCAGAGCUGUGUCUAAGUAUUUAACUUACAUACAUUCCCAGGCUAAACUUAAAUCAUACAUAACUUCAGGACGUAAAUCGGGUCUAGCCCACAAAAUACAUAACAAGCCCUCGGGCAAUCAAGACUACAAUCUAUGCUUCAACCUCGUCCUAUGGUUCUUCACUUUGGCU
rnacentral:lncRNA from 1 species